rnacentral:rRNA from 1 species
AGAGUUUGAUCCUGGCUCAGGACGAACGCUGGCGGCGUGCCUAACACAUGCAAGUCGAGCGGAGAUGAUAGCAAUAUCGUCUUAGCGGCGGACGGGUGAGUNNNNNAGCGGCGGACGGGUGAGUAACGCGUGGGUAACCUGCCUUAUACAGGGGGAUAACAUAUUGAAAAGUAUGCUAAUACCGCAUAAGCGCACAAUAUCGCAUGAUAUGGUGUGAAAAGCUGAGACGGUAUAAGAUGGACCCGCGUCUGAUUAGCUAGUAGGUGAGGUAAUGGCUCACCUAGGCGACGAUCAGUAGCCGACCUGAGAGGGUGAUCGGCCACAUUGGGACUGAGACACGGCCCAAACUCCUACGGGAGGCAGCAGUGGGGAAUAUUGCACAAUGGGGGAAACCCUGAUGCAGCGACGCCGCGUGAAGGAUGAAGGUUUUCGGAUCGUAAACUUCUAUCAGCAGGGAAGAAAAUGACGGUACCUGACUAAAGCACCGGCUAACUCCGUGCCAGCAGCCGCGGUAAUACGUAGGUGGCGAGCGUUGUCCGGAAUUACUGGGCGUAAAGGGCGCGUAGGCGGUUCUUUAAGUCAGAUGUGAAAACCCAGGGCUUAACUUUGGGAGUGCAUUUGAAACUGAGGGACUCGAGUGCAGGAGAGGUAAGUGGAAUUCCUAGUGUAGCGGUGAAAUGCGUAGAUAUUAGGAGGAACACCAGUGGCGAAGGCGACUUACUGGACUGUAACUGACGCUGAGGCGCGAAAGCGUGGGGAGCAAACAGGAUUAGAUACCCUGGUAGUCCACGCUGUAAACGAUGGAUACUAGGUGUCGGCUCUUAAAGGGUUCCGUGCCGCAGUUAACACAAUAAGCAUUCCGCCUGGGGAGUACGGCCGCAAGGUUGAAACUCAAAGGAAUUGACGGGGGCCCGCACAAGCGGUGGAGCAUGUGGUUUAAUUCGACGCAACGCGAAGAACCUUACCAGGGCUUGACAUCCCUUUGAGCGGUCCGUAAUGGGACUGCCCUUCGGGGAGCGUAGAGACAGGUGCUGCAUGGUUGUCGUCAGCUCGUGCCGUGAGGUGUCGGCUUAAGUGCCAUAACGAGCGCAACCCUUGUCGUUAGUUGCCAUCAAGUAAUGCUGGGAACUCUAGCGAGACUGCCACCGUAAGGUGUGAGGAAGGGGGGGAUGACGUCAAAUCAGCACGGCCCUUACGUCCGGGGCGACACACGUGUUACAAUGGUAGGUACAGAGGGCCGCUAUCCAGCGAUGGAAUGCGAAUCUCAAAAACCUAUCUCAGUUCGGAUCGGAGUCUGCAACUCGACUCCGUGAAGUUGGAUUCGCUAGUAAUCGCGCAUCAGCCAUGGCGCGGUGAAUACGUUCCCGGGCCUUGUACACACCGCCCGUCAAGCCAUGGAAGCUGGGGGUGCCUGAAGUUCGUGACCGCAAGGAGCGACCUAGGGCAAAACUGGUAACUGGGGCUAAGUCGUAACAAGGUAACC